rnacentral:lncRNA from 1 species
GAACAAUUGAAAUCUCACUGAGGCCUCCAGAAAUGUUACGGCAGCUGCCCAGCAGCCCUGCGACGCAGCGUAUCAGCUCUGGCGACAGCCCUGUGGCGGUAGUUGCCAGCUCCAGCAGCUCUGUGGCUGCAGCGGAUCAGCUCUUCUACCCAAGCGAGCGCUCGGCCAGGUGGAGAACUCAGGUGUAUUACGCUGGCGUCUGAGCCCGGAAGAGGGGCUUCGCAAGGCUUUUAUGGGCUCGUUCUUCCGGGUCCGUGCUUGGCGGACCAGAGUGAGAUCUGGCAAAGUAAUAGAUGCGGAAACAAGUUUACAGAAGCAGACGUGUGGGGAGGGGUGGUUGGGGCCGUUGCUGGACGUUGCUUAGUCAUUGUGGCCGCUGGGGUCUCUCCUUUCUGCCUUUUUAUCGGGACAUUUUCUCCUACAACAGCUCUGGAAAUUUCAGAUGAGAAAAAGGCAGAAAUGGAACAUAGAUGAUGGUCUUUUUGGAGAGGUUGCAAUAUUUAUAGCAAUAGAUGUGUUGACAGCUUGCACAAACAGAACCACUGUCCUAGUCCAAGCCAGUAUCAACUCUUCCUCCUUUAUCUCCGAUCACAUCUGCCCCCUGUCCUCUUUAGACAUUCAGGGCUUUGGCAUUUGCUAUUUCUAUGUCUGGAAUAAUUUCUACUUGAGCAUCUCACAGGGUUGUCAUUUUCUCAGCUCUACUAUGGGAAAUUGUGUGUCCCUAAAAUCUGUAUGUUGAACCCCUAGUCUCCAGUGCGAUGGUAUUUGGAGACAUGGCCUUUGGAAGGUAGUUAGGUUUAGGUGAGGUCAUGAGGGUGGGGACCUCAUGAUUAGAUUCGUGCUCUUAUUAAGAAGAGACACCAGAGAGUUUGUUCUCUCUCUCCCCACAUGUGAGGCCAUAGCACAAAAGCAGCCACCUGCAAACUGGGAGAGAGCUCUCACUAGAACCUGACCAUGCUGGCAACUUCCAGCCUCCAGAACUGUGAGGAAACGAAUUGCUCUUGUUGAAGCUAUCCAGCCUAUGGUGUUUUGUUAUGCCUGAGAUGACUAAAACAAGUUCUUACAUGUAAAAAUCACAAUCUGGAUUUACCUUAUUUGUUCAGCUCCAUAAGGGCCAGAAUUUUGUCAUUUUAUUCACUGUUCCACUCAGCGGCUAGAACAUUGACUGACACACAUAGCUGCUUCUUCCAGAUGUGAUGUUUUUCCUUCAAGGAACAUGACUUGAGGGGUGAAAUACCACAGUUUUAGUGGAAAUUCAGUUUAUAGUCCACUGAUUGAGUCACAGAUUCUGCUCCAUUCCAUUUCCAGGCAAAGAGAAAUAAACUUUCUCAGACAACUAGUUGCAUGCCUAUUUAAAAAAAAAAAAAAAAAUGUCCUGGGCAUUCCCGUCAUGGCUCAGUGGAAACAAAUCUGACUAGCAUCCAUGAGGACACAGGUUUGAUGCCUGGCCUCCAUCAGUGCAUCAUGGCAGUGCCAUGACCUGUUGUGUAGGUCAUAGACGAGACUUGGAUCUGGCGUUGCUGUGGCUAUAGAUUUGACCCCUAGUCUGGGAACUCCAUAUGCCCAUGGGUGCAGCCCUAAAAAGACAAAAAAAAAAAAAUCCUAAAGUGUAGAAUAUACAUGUGACUCUCAAUACUUUAUGGCUAGGAUAUUAUCCUUAUAAGCAGGGAGGCCCAGUUUGCCGUAGAAGUCUUUAUGUCCCUCUGGAAUCCAGACUUGACUACAUACUUCUGGAAAACUAGUGAGUGUGGGUGUGACAUAAGUUUAUUUGCUUUAGGAACUGAGAGUAAAAUCCUUAGGGGGAAAAUAUUAAGCUAAAGCAAUAGAGGACUGAGGUUCCUAAGCUUAGACAAAGGACAAUGGGCCAUUAUUAAAAGCAAAAGCUAAUGACAAAAGGGAAGAGCUAUUUUGGGCUGGACAGAAAGCUUCUAAUCCCCCUCCUAGGGAAGGAGAACAUAUAAAAAAAAUCCAAAUGGGGAAUUCUCCUAUGUGUAGCAGGUUAAGUAUCCUUAGUUGUCACUGUAGUAGCUUGGGUCGCUGCUGUGGUGCAGGUUUGAUCCCUGGCCUGGGUACUUCCACCUGCCUUGAGUGCAGCCAUUAAAAAAAAAGAAAAAGGAAAAAAAAAAAAAGGUUCACCUUGAAAAGCUCUUUCCCUAAGCUUUGCAGAGACAGUGGGGAGCAUGAGACAGCUCUUCUCUGUAGCCUAUGAUGAAUGCAGUCUGCAGGGGAGAGAAGGGUGGGCUUCCCAUUUGUAAUUCCUGCUGUAGCACAGUGCAAACCCAGCAGCUGCAGCAUCAGAUCAGAACAAUGAACACCUGGGAUGGAGACACCACAGAAGAGGACAUUCCGUCUUGGUGACUUCCCUCCUCUCUAGCCUCUAUGUCAGCAAUCCUCACAUCAAUGCAGAACAGGAUGUGGCAGCUGAGAAACAGUCCCUAAAGACUCUUGGGUCAUCAUGGGUUUAAUUAAAGUGACCUGUUAAAAAAAGGAGACUUGAUUCUAUUGUUGGGAUUUUAAUUCUCUUUUUUUGUUUGUUUUGUUUUGUCUUUUUGCCUUUUCUAGGGUCGCAUGUGGAGGUUCCCAGGCUAGGGGUCCAAUCAGAGCUGUAGCCACCGGCCUACGCCAUAGCCACAGCAAUGCCGGAUCCUUAACCCGCUGAGCAAGGCCAGGGAUCGAACCCAAAAACUCAUGGUCCCUAGUCAGAUUCGUUAACCAUUUCGCCAUGAUGGGAACUCCAGGAUUUUAAUUCUUGGUUCCAGUUCAUUGUACUAGAUAUAAUGUUUCUAGCUCAGGAUGCCAGUCAUCCUUUUGGGACUUUGCUUCUCGGUCGUGGCUGUAAUGGCUCCCUAAUAAAUCAGUUCUGAUAUUCUCCCUCAUGUGAUGACUACUCUAAAAAUAUGGAUGGAGUGCUUUAUAGUGCAAAAGCCAAUCUGCUCAGCAACUCAUUACUAAUGAGAGUGAAGGAAGAGUCGUGCACUUCAUCUUAACCCCUGGUUCUUCUUAAUCAGACCGAGAAAUUCAGUCCUUAAAGGCAAAGCUUCUCAAGGUGCUCAGCAUAUGCCAGUAAUUUCACUCUCAGUUGCUUCCCCCAUUGUCCCAGGACCCCAAGCGAAGGGAGGGAACUGAGUGAGAUACAACUAGCAUCCAGGGUAUUCAGGCCUGACUCGUGAGCAACCCUACAUAGAUCUUUCUGAAGAACCAGCACAAGACAGCAGCAACUAAGGACAGAGGAUUUCUGUCUAAAAGAGCCUCUAUCCAGGCUGUCUUAUCCUGAUUUUGUAGAAGUGACAUAAUUGUAAAAUAUUAAAACAACCUGCUCUUGAUGUUCUUAUGUUAUAAAGAGAGUUGCACAAAAGUUUCUUUAAAUUUUCCUGUUUAAAAAGUAAUAAAACGUACAUUUGUUUUCACUAAUGGAAAGGAGAGAGUGACACAUUAUUAUACGGUUUUUGGUCCAAAGAGGAGGAGUGCAGCAUCUAAGUCCAUAGUUUUUUCCGUAUUCUAUUAGGAUCACCCAUUUAGCAGAUGAGAAAAUUAAAUAUGAGACAUUUUACAACCAAUAAGUGAUAAAGCCCUGGCCUCCAUCUCCAGAAUUACCUUCCUCAUUUUGCAGGAGGCAGAGGGUGGUUGUCCAUUUUGGAACCACAAGCUGACUCCCAAUCAUGUAGUUUUCCCUUAGACUCUUUUCCCCAAAGAAAUAUGACUAUUAGGCAUUGGCUCACUUCUAAAAAUUGCCAUUAAUUUUUUUGAACUAAACAUCAGAGCACCAACUGACCUCUCCAUCCUACUAGUCUAUCACUGUGUUCUUAUUUCUACAGCAAAGAUUUUAUCUUUAGAACAACCUAUGUCUAGUGCUGACAUUCUGAUAAGCCUAGAACACUUUGACGUAGCCCUGACUUCAGUCUCUGACCACAGGGUCUGAGAAGCCUCCUGGAAAGGUGUUCCCGUAGAGGGAAGAAGGAAGCAGGCAUAACCCACUUGCAACAAUGCCUUUGUCACUGAAAGAGAAUGAGUAUUUUAAGUACUACAUAGGGACUGUCACUCAAAUUCAUCUCCGGCCUGGAUGCAUGUCCAGAGAGAGAACACGAUAACUAAAAACUGAACCAGAGGUUUUAUAUAAAAGCUCUGAAAGUGUUGAUGUACAGGCAGUGGCUGCUUGGGGACCCCUCUGAUGAAUUAUAACACAAGGGAAGAGAAGUGUUCCGCCCCUGCCCAUUUAUCUACUGUGGACUUGACCGCAUAGGCUAUGAUGCCUAGGGGAGCAAUGGCAGGGUUUACGAGAAGAUAAUGGUGCCCAAAGCGAUCUUUGGAACCUAAGGAGAACGGCAGAGUCCCGGGGGGGAG